CCAGGAUGCUGACACUCACCAGCCAACAAGACAUUUUGGUCCCAAUUUUGACUAACGUGAGCCACCAGCUCCUAGGGUCCUGCUGAUGGGAGGAAAAGCCAAAGCCCCAUCUAAAAUAUAAGCCACGGGAACCCUGUAAAAAGAGACACUUCUACCCUCAGACCAAAGGAGUCCCAUCUUCAUCAGCAAAGAGCAGGCCUUUUACCGGUUGAAAAUAAUUGGAGUUUGAUUCCCUUCAUCCCGAGUCAGCAGCCCGGAACCUGCCUGCAGGCCGCCAUGUUCUCUGCCAUGAGGAUAAUGGACUGAACCUCUGAAACUGUAAGUGAGCCACCCCAAUUAAAUGUCUCCUUUACAAGAUUUGUCGUGGUCAUGGUGGCUCCUCAAAGCAAUGAGAACCCUAACUAGGACACCGUGCCCAUCUGCCUGCUGCUUUGUUUUACAUCAUGAUGGUCACAGCCUCUAACCCUCUGGAUCUGUGCCAGCAAGCGAUUUAACCCAGAGCCAUUUAAUGUACCCUAGGCAAGCACCUUACCACUUAGCUACAUCUUUGGCCAUUUUAAUUGUUUUUUUAUUUGGACACAGAACCUCCAAUAAGCCAAGCUAGCCUCAAACUCACUAUGCAACCCAGGCAGGCCUUGAAUUUAUAAUCCUCCUGCUUCGACCUCAUGAGUAGCCGGGAUUCCAGGCAUACACCGCCACACCUAGUCCCACCAAGACUUUUAUGAACUUAAGGCUAAUGAGAAAGAAAAGCCUGUUAAUGAAAUGUAUCUAUUCUGAUGUAUAUACCCAUGAACACACAUCUGUGAGGAUGUAUGUACAACAAGAAUGCACAACAAUGAAGGAGCAGUGUUUCCAGGUGUUGCUGUAGUACACUGAGAUGCUCUUAAGACUGAUUUCAUGGGACUUCCUGGGGACCUUUUCUUUAUCAGAAUUAGGAAUCAUUAGGAUCAUAUUGAACAAAGCAACUGAGAGGUGCCAGGCCUCAGAAAUGCAUUCCAAGGUGCUGUCAUGAAAAUGCAGAACUGCCUGAGGUCUGAGGCAGGGGCUGUAGAGAUGGAAUCAUUACUCACGGGAGGGGCUAAGUGACCUCCGAAGACAGAGAAGGGAGAAGGGUGUGUUCAGCCCAGCAAUCCCGACAGACACACGAAAACCUGAACCCUUAGCACGUUUUGCACAACUUUUCAAAGCCAAGUUGAGGAAUGAACAUCAUGAAUUGAAAAAUAGAAAUGAAGAAAAGUGAAAUAAAUCUUCGAGGGUCAGCUGAGAAAACACACACAUUUUAAUGGGAUGUUUUCAAACUAUUGUAACGUAACAGUUUCGGAAUCUGACUCUAUUAUUAUAAAGGGGUGAACCAUACUGCUCAUGCUU
rnacentral:lncRNA from 1 species